UGUUGCUUAUACAUUCAUUAAUAUAAUACAAAGAACUUGAAUAAAUUGAUGUACUUUUUCACUUAUAAUUUUUCUAUUACAGUUAAAUAUGAAAGGAUCAAAUUUUUGGUGAUUGCCUUAAAGAAUGCUGUGGAAAUAUAUGCUUGGGCUCCUAAACCAUAUCAUAAAUUCAUGGCAUUUAAGUCUUUUGCAGAUCUCCAGCACAAGCCUCUGCUAGUUGAUCUCACAGUAGAAGAAGGUCAAAGAUUAAAGGUUAUUUUUGGUUCACACACUGGUUUCCAUGUAAUUGAUGUUGAUUCAGGAAACUCUUAUGAUAUCUACAUACCAUCUCAUAUUCAGGGCAAUAUCACUCCUCAUGCUAUUGUCAUCUUGCCUAAAACAGAUGGAAUGGAAAUGCUUGUUUGCUAUGAGGAUGAGGGGGUGUAUGUAAACACCUAUGGCCGGAUAACUAAGGAUGUGGUGCUCCAAUGGGGAGAAAUGCCCACGUCUGUGGGUAGGUUAACCCUUCCUUAUCUCCUUCAGCAGUUACACCCCCCAAAUGAAACGAAAAUCAAGAAAUGUGAAACAACCAUUUGAUUCCAC
rnacentral:sRNA from 1 species